rnacentral:RNase_P_RNA from 1 species
AGCAGAUAAUCGCGGCUACUAAUGCGAAAGUGAGUAGACGAGGAAAGUCCGGGCUUCAUAGGGCAGGGUGCCGGCUAACGGCCGGUGGAGGUGACUCUAAGGAAAGUGCAACAGAAAUGAAACCGCCCAUUGGGUAAGGAUGAAAUGGUAGGGUAAGAGCCUACCGCUGCGGUGGUGACAUCGCGGGUCAGUGUAAACCCCACCUGAAGCAAGACCGAACAGUGAACAUAAGGUUGCCCGCCUGUUCCGGGUAGGUCGCUUGAGCUUAUUGGCAACAAUAAGCCUAGAUAGAUGAUUAUCUAAUACAUAACCCGGCUUAUAGCUUUACUCA